rnacentral:rRNA from 1 species
UACGGGGGGGGCAAGCGUUGUUCGGAAUUACUGGGCGUAAAGGGCUCGUAGGCGGCCAACUAAGUCGGAUGUGAAAUCCCCAAGCUUAACUUGGGAACUGCAUCCGAUACUGGAUGGCUUGAAUCCGGGAGAGGGAUGCAGAAUUCCAGGUGUAGCGGUGAAAUGCGUAGAUAUCUGGAGGAAUACCGGUGGCGAAGGCGGCAUCCUGGACCGGCAUUGACGCUGAGGCGCGAAAGCUAGGGGAGCAAACGGG